GAACUGUAUAGGACUCCAUACAUAAAUGUUUCUAUGGACAGAAAAUUCUGACCCACCCCCCUCCCCCAUACUGAGACCUGCGGCCCGGUCCUCAUGUGCAGAGACAGCAGCAGAACCAGAACACGCUGGGCUUCUUCAUGAACGCCCCCACUUUUCUAAAAAUGGCUCCCCCACCCACCAGCGUAGGAGCCUUUGUGCCAGAGUGGGCUCUGCUGCAUCUGCUGUUGGCUGAACAGCUGAUCCUGAUGGACGGACGCCGCCGCCGCUCUUCUACCUGCAAAUGACAGAGCCGACCCCCCGCCCCAGUUAUUCAGCGUUUCCCCCCCAAUGUGAGAAAAUAGACGACCGUUUUCAUUCUUUCAGCUGCUGAAGCUUUUUAAACGGCAGAAGAAGAAAAGGCUGAAGCUGAGAGCAGAGACCCGCGGACCAGAACCUGACAUAGAACGUCUGCAGGGACGAUCCGGAACCGUUUUGGUGUUUUCUGGGUUAACAGCAGAGAUCAGGAUGAAUUCUGAAGUUGUCAGCUUUUGAGCUCCAGCUUGCUUGAAGUGAAGAGCAGGAGAUGACCUCUGACCUCCAGCUGAGCUUCUGCUCAGCAGGUUAACGUCCAGAUGGACAAAGAGAUUCAUUUUCUAUUUUGAAUAGUUACCAGGAUGUUUAAAGAGCGAAGACAGCCGUGGAGCUUUGAGUGGUCGACAUUUCUGACUGUGAAUUAUGAACAGAAGCAGUUUGAAUGUAUCAUUUAGAGCAGAACCUUCAGCCCCCCCCCCCCGCGGCGCUCGUCUGGCCUCGUUCUUAUCUGGGUCUGAAGGAAGUUCUUCUUUUGCAUCGCUCAGCAGGAAAUCCCAGCUGAGCUGCUCCAGUUCCUUCACGUCUUUGGAAGCCGCCUGAGAAACUGGAUGGACAGCAGGGGGACCGCCAUGACUGUCAGGGGUCCUGACCCCAGCGCCACAGCAGGACCCCCACCCAACACGUCAGGGGUCCUGACCCCAGCGCCACAGCAGGACCCCCACCCACCAUCCCAGAACCGUCAGCUCAUGUCACACCUGGGAUGUUGGAGUGUCUUCUUUGAGGACUUGUGAGGAACGCAUGCGUGUCCACAGAGGAUCUGCGUCUUAGCUUACAGAACCGGGACCGUUGCAGACUUGCAGUCGUCUUCUGUUGAGGCCUGGCUGCGUUUAGCUGAGCCCCACAUUGCUGCCGGCGGUUGUAGUUUGGCGCCACUGUUCACCCGAACACGUGGAUGUGUGUUUAUGGGUGACCUGCAUGGAAAGGGACCAUCUUAUGCCAUAAAAGUAUUCAACCACGCCCCCACACGCAGAAACAGACGUGAUAAUGUCUUCUCCUCUUUUCAUGACUUCCUUUGUGUUUCAGCUUUGAACCCCCCCUCCUUACCUCUCUACGGUGAUGUCAUGUGACAUGCAAGUCAUUUUCCACCCAACGGCCGUUGGUGACGGUGAAACCCCUCUGAGGUAUCCAUGCUUUCCCCACAUCUCAGCUGGAUUACUGUCAUUCUCUUUAUUCCCGAGUCAGAAGGUCGUCCCUCUCACGUCUCCAGGUGGUCCAGAACGCUGCUGCUCGGGUUCUGGUUGGAGCACGUGAGAAGGACCACAUCAUGUGGAUUCUAGAGUUUAUUUGAAGACUCUCUCAUUUGUUUUUAAAUCUUUAAACAAUCGUGCGCUGCCGUUCUUCUCUGAGUGAGCUUCUGUCUCCCCAGCCUGGAGCCUCCAGUCAGCUGAUCAGCUUCUCCUGGAGGUACUGAGGAAGAGGAAGAGGAAACUCAGUGGAGAACGAGCGUUUUCAGUCAGCGGACUGAAGCUGUGGAACGCCUUUCCACUGAGGCACAGAAAUCCUAACUGUUUAUUUUCUGAAAACCUAUUUUUCUAGCCGGACUUUGGACACAGCAAGAGACUCUGCAGCUGUUUUUUAUUUGCUCUGGUUUUACUAUAGUAUUUCUUCUAUAUUUUACUUUGAAAUAGUUUUAACUUUUCUAUUUUUGCUUACAACCUUUUGAGAUUUUAAUGUACAGUGCCUUGUUUUGACUGUGGUCACGUUGAUGCGCCAUAAAAAUAAACUUGAACCCCACUGGUUACCUGUAAUAAUGUCACCUGUUUGGACCGGUCAUCUGUACACCUGUCCACAUCAGACUGCAACCUCUCCUCCAAGACCAAAGAGCUGUCUGAGGACACCAGGGACUGUAGACCUGAACCAGACUGGGAUGAACCCAUCUACUAUAAACAGCAGUUUGGAGAGAAGAGAUCCACCGUUGGAGCGAUUCUUAGAGGAGCAGGGACAACCUCCCUCCAGCUGCAUCUGCAUGUUGGAUCUUCUGGAUGGAUCUCCCAACAGGACAAUGAUCCCAAACGCAUCGCCAUGACAACAAAGGACUAUCUACAUAAAGACAUAAAGGUUCUGGGCUGUUCUGACCCGUUUCUGGUCCUCAAUCCAGCAGAGAUUCUGAGGAGGGAGUCUGAAAACAUCCCAGCUCUGGAGAAGAUCUGCAUGAAGGAUGGACCAAACCUGCUGUAGAUCUGCAAGUGACCUUUGACCUCUGUCACUGCAACCAGGGUCACGUUAUAAAGGAUCAGGAGGCAGUGGCUCAGGACUGAGCAGCUCAACCAAUGUUCCACCUCUGCUGCUGCAGUGUGACUGUUCCUCUGUCUUUUCUCCUCUGAUUCCGGUUCCUUUGGUGUUUUUCAUGUUGAGGAACCUCAUUUGUUUUUUCGCUGAUGCAGCUUCUCUGAUCAAAUCUGCUGCUCGUUUUGUCUGCAGAUGUGCUGAUCGCUCUGAGGGUCCACAGCGUCUUUGGAUAGAUGGAUGCGUUUACAGUAAAGGUGAUGGUUAUUUUUCUGUUCAGGUGAGAGCAGGAGAGAUCGGAGCUGUUCAGAGCCUCAAACUGGAGGUCACCUUCACCCCAACCGUUCAAGGACAGAGCCGACUGGACUCAGCAUCAAAGCCUCUGAUGGAAGCAAACAAACGGUGGCAUUUUGUUCAGUAUGUCACCAAAACAUGUAGAAAAAAAUGUGAAAAUGUCUGACAUGUUUUUUUUCCAUGUUCACCUGUUCUUUGGUGUUACUGUGGACAGAUGUGAGCAGAUACCUGUGCAGGUUAGAGGUGUGGCCGUCGGCGCUCCUGUGUGGGUUGAACCAAGCAUCAACCUGAAGGUCUGCACGAUUGGCUGCUUUAACCAGGAACUGAUUGUGGUCCAGAGCAGGUGGGUCCAGUCCAGCUGACCAGUCCUGAACCGCGCUUGGUUCAUGACGCCAAAGGGUAAAGAGCAGCAGGGCAGGAAACUCUGUCACGUCGUGUGGGGGAGGGAGGGCAUGUGGGGGAUUUACACGCCAUCUGCCGCGCUGGCUCAUGCGCCGGAGAACUGCAGCUUUUUAAGAGGAGAGAAAACAGAAGCUUGGCAGGCGUUUGGGCGGAAACAACAAGAGCUGCUGCCGUAAUCACAGUCUGUCACUUUCUGCCUUAGGGGGACGGACCCCACGAGAAGCAGCAGCACCGUGGAGCUUCUGCUGCUUCAGGACGUAACGUUUCUGGCUUGGUCUUCCAGGGAAAAUUCCUCUUCUAGCCUGGGAGUUCAAACACUCCCAGCUGGAGAUCCAAACAUGGUGGUCCAAACAUGCAAGUCCGAACCUCCCAGCCAGCAAUGCCAAGUGGGCCCCAUAUAGUUUAAAAGUGGGCAGAAAUUGUGGCCCCAGAUGAAUUUGUCCACAAUUUCCAUGGUGGCCCCACCUGUGUGUGCCCACAUUGGUGUAAGUGGACACUCAGUAGGCUGGCUAGCAGGCUGGCUAGCAGCUAGCUGCUGCCUGGUGGUCACUGAGUGUCCACUUAAGCUAAUGUAGGCUAACAAAGGUGGGGCCCACAAAUCAUGCCCACUUUUAAACCAUAUGGGACCCACUUGGCCUUGUUGGCUGGGAUAAAGUCCAAACAUGAAGGUCUGCUCAGUUAUUGAUGAACAUCAAGGCAGAGGACUGAUGGGCAGAGGAGCCAUGAUGCUGUGAGAACAGUCAUCCUCAACUGAAACAUUUCUGCAGAACCUCUAAGUGAUCCAUCUUCUUUUGAUGAAGUCUCUUGCUGAUCAAUCUGAUUUGGUCACAUGUCAAUAAUGGUGAGAUCUGCAGAGAAGGAGCAGGCGAGUUUUUAACCUCAUUUGUUUUUAGAGUGUAUCUGUUUCUGAACCUUUCAUUUUAAAUAUGUAAGUUUAUGUUUUCAUCGCUGCCUCCACGUCGACAAUAAAAAUGUGGCUGAAAAUGUUUUUCAGCUAAAGCCGUUUAGUGAA